rnacentral:pre_miRNA from 7 species
AACCGCCAGUGGAAAUGUUAUUUUCACUGGCGGUUUCUUUAAGAAAACCGCCAGUGAAAAUAGCAUUUUCACUGGCGGUU